CUUGGAGCCGCAGGGCUUAAUCCCGCGCGGCUCAGAGAUGGGUUUCUGGACUCGCGAAGCAGCUGCAACAAGGCAUCACUCACUGUAUAAGUAUUUCCAUUUCUGAGAGCAAAAGGAAGAACUUAAGCGGGCGGCACUUGGAGUGUAAAUUGCUUUGUAGUAUUUAAAGGCAGAAUGGAUCCUGGGCAGCCGAGCUGCAACAAACCGGCAGGACUUCCUGUGAAAUCAUGACCACCAUGUGCUCUUUCAGCCUCUAUCAGUUCCUACCUCUAAGCACCUGAGAGCCAAAGCAAACCACAGGAAACCACAGAAUGAAAGCCAAGCAUAUUCCAUCAUUUCCUAAAACCAAGAUAGAGCACAUAUGGGAACUUGUGAAAUAAGGAUGCCCUGCGGUUGUUUUCAGGACUGAAGACAACAGCUCCACGAUGAAACCAAAGCACAAAGAGAGAAAGAAAAGAAAGAGAAAAAAGGAAGAAAGAAAAGAAAGAUGAAAGAAAGAAAGAGAAAGAAGAGAGAGGGAGAGAGAGAAAGAAAGAGAAGGAAAGAAAGAAGGAAGAAGAAAGAAAGAAAGAAAGAAAGAAAGAAAGAAAGAAAGAAAGAAAGAAAGAAAGAAAGAAAGAAAGAAAGAAAAAAGGAAGGAAGGAAAAGAAACACAUGGAAAGUGCUUCUUUGGACCUUUUAAGUUGCAUUAUCCCAUAAAAUGUGGUGGAUUCAAUGUUGUAUGGCCUGUAAAACUAAGUAAUGAAGGCUGAUAUGUACCCACCUGGCUCUGUCUUGGGAUCACACAACUUGGGAGCCAAAACAGAUUGCAAAUGAUGUUCAAAUCAAGGACUGGCUUAAGGGAGAAAAUCAAUUAUACUGUACAA
rnacentral:lncRNA from 1 species